rnacentral:lncRNA from 1 species
CUCAUUCUUAAUGCUCAUUUGUGUAGGAAAAUUUGAAAAGGGAUAAUGAGCAAUUCUUUCAAGUCAAAAGGAAGUCAAAUGUGAAAAUAAAGGGCCAUCUGCUUUGCAUCCCCUUUCCACCUGCUCCCCAUCUGCUUAAGCAGAUCAAGAUCAAGGUGGCAUAAUAUUGGAAAAUGUGGAUUGGGGUAAAUAGGGGAUUUUAGCUCAUUUUCACCAUAUUUUAUCUAGUCACUAUCCAUCCUUAGUUUAGUUUAGGGUUUUGUAAUUUUUUGGAGGUUGGUGCCUAAAUUUGUAUUAAGUUGAUCUAAGACUUAAUUAGAGGAACUCCAAAGAGUGUAUUUGA